AGUUAAAACGCUCGUAGUCGGAUUUCGGGGCGGGUCCGCCGGUCUGCCGAUGGGUACGCACUGGCGGUCGCGUCCUUCCUUCCGGAGACUGGCCCUACUCUUAGCUGAGCGGGGUCGGGAGUCGGAAAGUUUACUUUGAAAAAAUCAGAGUGUUUCAAGCAGGCAGCUCGCUCUUGCAUGGAUUAGCAUGGGAUAAUGAAAUAGGACUUUGGUGCUAUUUUGUUGGUUUCGAACACCGAAGUAAUGAUUAACAGGGACAGUCAGGGGCACUCGUAUUCCGCCGAGAGAGGUGAAAUUCUCAGACCAGCGGAAGACGAACCACUGCGAAAGCAUUUGCCAGGGAUGUUUUCACUGAUCAAGAACGAAAGUUAGGGGAUCGAAGACGAUCAGAUACCGUCGUAGUCUUAACCAUAAACCAUGCCGACUAGGGAUUGGGGGAAGUCCUUUUUGACUCCCUCAGCACCUUAAGGGAAACUAUAGUUUUUGGGUUCCGGGGGGAGUAUGGUCGCAAGGCUGAAACUUAAAGGAAUUGACGGAAGGGCUCCACCAGGAGUGGAGCCUGCGGCUUAAUUUGACUCAACACGGGGAAACUUACCAGGUCCAGACAUUGUGAGGAU
rnacentral:rRNA from 1 species